rnacentral:rRNA from 1 species
CUUAGCUUGCUAAGGCUGAUGGCGACCGGCGCACGGGUGAGUAACACGUAUCCAACCUGCCGUCUACUCUUGGCCAGCCUUCUGAAAGGAAGAUUAAUCCAGGACGGGAUCAUGAGUUCACAUGUCCGCAUGAUUAAAGGUAUUUUCCGGUAGACGAUGGGGAUGCGUUCCAUUAGAUAGUAGGCGGGGUAACGGCCCACCUAGUCAACGAUGGAUAGGGGUUCUGAGAGGAAGGUCCCCCACAUUGGAACUGAGACACGGUCCAAACUCCUACGGGAGGCAGCAGUGAGGAAUAUUGGUCAAUGGGCGAUGGCCUGAACCAGCCAAGUAGCGUGAAGGAUGACUGCCCUAUGGGUUGUAAACUUCUUUUAUAAAGGAAUAAAGUCGGGUAUGCAUACCCGUUUGCAUGUACUUUAUGAAUAAGGAUCGGCUAACUCCGUGCCAGCAGCCGCGGUAAUACGGAGGAUCCGAGCGUUAUCCGGAUUUAUUGGGUUUAAAGGGAGCGUAGAUGGAUGUUUAAGUCAGUUGUGAAAGUUUGCGGCUCAACCGUAAAAUUGCAGUUGAUACUGGAUGUCUUGAGUGCAGUUGAGGCAGGCGGAAUUCGUGGUGUAGCGGUGAAAUGCUUAGAUAUCACGAAGAACUCCGAUUGCGAAG